rnacentral:tRNA from 1 species
AUGGGCUUCAACGGCGUUCGGUCGGCGUUCGCCAAUAUCGAGCGCGAAUUUGAUGGCGGCGUAAACGCGGCAGUGCGAAUCCGCCAGGCUCUG